rnacentral:rRNA from 1 species
GGAAUAUUGGACAAUGGAUGGAAAUCUGAUCCAGCCAUGCCGCGUGCAGGAAGACGGCCCUAUGGGUUGUAAACUGCUUUUGUAUGGGAGCAAUAAGGUCUAUGCGUAGACUGAUGAGAGUACCAUACGAAUAAGCAUCGGCUAACUCCGUGCCAGCAGCCGCGGUAAUACGGGGGAUGCAAGGCGUUAUCCCGGAUUUAUUGGGGUUAAAGGGUGCGUAAGCGGUUUGAUAAGUCAGCGGUGUAAAUAUUUCAGCUUAACUGAAAGGGUGCCGUUGAUACUGUCAGGCUUGAAUAUGGUUGCUGUGGGUGGAAUGUGUGGUGUAGCGGUGAAAUGCUUAGAUAUCACACAGAAUAUCGAUUGCGAAGGCAGCUCACAAAGCCAUUAUUGACGCUGAUGCACGAAAGUGUGGGGAUCAAACAGGAUUAGAUACCCUGGUAGUCCACACUGUAAACGAUGAUAACUCGCUGUCGGCGAUACACAGUCGGUAGCCAAGCGAAAGCGAUAAGUUAUCCACCUGGGGAGUAUGACCGCAAGGUUGAAACUCAAAGGAAUUGACGGGGGCCCGCACAAGCGGAGGAACAUGUGGUUUAAUUCGAUGAUACGCGAGGAACCUUACCCGGGCUCGAACGGUGCAGGAAUACGUCAGAGAUGAUGUAGCUAGCAAUAGUCUGUAUCGAGGUGCUGCAUGGUUGUCGUCAGCUCGUGCCGUGAGGUGUCGGCUUAAGUGCCAUAACGAGCGCAACCCUUGUCGUUAGUUGCCAUCAGGUAAUGCUGGGAACUCUAGCAAGACUGCCACCGUAAGGUGUGAGGAAGGGGGGGAUGACGUCAAAUCAGCACGGCCCUUACGUCCGGGGCGACACACGUGUUACAAUGGCCGGUACAGAGGGCAGCUACCUGGUGACAGGAUGCGAAUCUCAAAAGCCGGUCUCAGUUCGGAUCGGAGUCUGCAACUCGACUCCGUGAAGUUGGAUUCGCUAGUAAUCGCGCAUCAGCCAUGGCGCGGUGAAUACGUUCCCGGGCCUUGUACACACCGCCAUCGGAU